rnacentral:rRNA from 1 species
GGGUUGUGAGGUUAAGCGACUAAGCGUACACGGUGGAUGCCCUGGCAGUCAGAGGCGAUGAAGGACGUGCUAAUCUGCGAAAAGCGUCGGUAAGGUGAUAUGAACCGUUAUAACCGGCGAUGUCCGAAUGGGGAAACCCAGUGCAAUUCGUUGCACUAUCGUUAACUGAAUACAUAGGUUAACGAGGCGAACCGGGGGAACUGAAACAUCUAAGUACCCCGAGGAAAAGAAAUCAACCGAGAUUCCCCCAGUAGCGGCGAGCGAACGGGGAGCAGCCCAGAGUCUGAAUCAGCUUGUGUGUUAGUGGAACGGUCUGGAAAGUCCGACGGUACAGGGUGAUAGUCCCGUACACCAAAAUGCACAGGUUGUGAACUCGAAGAGUAGGGCGGGACACGUGGUAUCCUGUCUGAAUAUGGGGGGACCAUCCUCCAAGGCUAAAUACUCCUGACUGACCGAUAGUGAACCAGUACCGUGAGGGAAAGGCGAAAAGAACCCCGGCGAGGGGAGUGAAAAAGAACCUGAAACCGUGUACGUACAAGCAGUGGGAGCACCUUCGGGUGUGACUGCGUACCUUUUGUAUAAUGGGUCAGCGACUUAUAUUCUGUAGCAAGGUUAACCGUAUAGGGGAGCCGCAGGGAAACCGAGUCUUAACUGGGCGUUAAGUUGCAGGGUAUAGACCCGAAACCCGGUGAUCUAGCCAUGGGCAGGUUGAAGGUUGGGUAACACUAACUGGAGGACCGAACCGACUAAUGUUGAAAAAUUAGCGGAUGACUUGUGGCUGGGGGUGAAAGGCCAAUCAAACCGGGAGAUAGCUGGUUCUCCCCGAAAGCUAUUUAGGUAGCGCCUCGUGAACUCAUCUUCGGGGGUAGAGCACUGUUUCGGCUAGGGGGUCAUCCCGACUUACCAACCCGAUGCAAACUACGAAUACCGAAGAAUGUUAUCACGGGAGACACACGGCGGGUGCUAACGUCCGUCGUGAAGAGGGAAACAACCCAGACCGCCAGCUAAGGUCCCAAAGUCAUGGUUAAGUGGGAAACGAUGUGGGAAGGCACAGACAGCCAGGAUGUUGGCUUAGAAGCAGCCAUCAUUUAAAGAAAGCGUAAUAGCUCACUGGUCGAGUCGGCCUGCGCGGAAGAUGUAACGGGGCUAAACCAUGCACCGAAGCUGCGGCAGCGACACUAUGUGUUGUUGGGUAGGGGAGCGUUCUGUAAGCCUGCGAAGGUGACCUGUGAGGGUUGCUGGAGGUAUCAGAAGUGCGAAUGCUGACAUAAGUAACGAUAAAGCGGGUGAAAAGCCCGCUCGCCGGAAGACCAAGGGUUCCUGUCCAACGUUAAUCGGGGCAGGGUGAGUCGACCCCUAAGGCGAGGCCGAAAGGCGUAGUCGAUGGGAAACAGGUUAAUAUUCCUGUACUUGGUGUUACUGCGAAGGGGGGACGGAGAAGGCUAUGUUAGCCGGGCGACGGUUGUCCCGGUUUAAGCAUGUAGGCUGGUUGUCCAGGCAAAUCCGGAUAAUCAAGGCUGAGGUGUGAUGACGAGGCACUACGGUGCUGAAGUAACAAAUGCCCUGCUUCCAGGAAAAGCCUCUAAGCAUCAGGUAACAUUAAAUCGUACCCCAAACCGACACAGGUGGUCAGGUAGAGAAUACCAAGGCGCUUGAGAGAACUCGGGUGAAGGAACUAGGCAAAAUGGUGCCGUAACUUCGGGAGAAGGCACGCUGGUGUGUAGGUGAAGUCCCUGCGGAUGGAGCUGAGACCAGUCGAAGAUACCAGCUGGCUGCAACUGUUUAUUAAAAACACAGCACUGUGCAAACACGAAAGUGGACGUAUACGGUGUGACGCCUGCCCGGUGCCGGAAGGUUAAUUGAUGGGGUUAUCCGUAAGGAGAAGCUCUUGAUCGAAGCCCCGGUAAACGGCGGCCGUAACUAUAACGGUCCUAAGGUAGCGAAAUUCCUUGUCGGGUAAGUUCCGACCUGCACGAAUGGCGUAAUGAUGGCCAGGCUGUCUCCACCCGAGACUCAGUGAAAUUGAACUCGCUGUGAAGAUGCAGUGUACCCGCGGCAAGACGGAAAGACCCCGUGAACCUUUACUAUAGCUUGACACUGAACAUUGAGCCUUGAUGUGUAGGAUAGGUGGGAGGCUUUGAAGCGUGGACGCCAGUCUGCGUGGAGCCAACCUUGAAAUACCACCCUUUAAUGUUUGAUGUUCUAACGUUGGCCCCUGACCGGGGUUGCGGACAGUGUCUGGUGGGUAGUUUGACUGGGGCGGUCUCCUCCCAAAGCGUAACGGAGGAGCACGAAGGUUAGCUAAUCCUGGUCGGACAUCAGGAGGUUAGUGCAAUGGCAUAAGCUAGCUUGACUGCGAGCGUGACGGCGCGAGCAGGUGCGAAAGCAGGUCAUAGUGAUCCGGUGGUUCUGAAUGGAAGGGCCAUCGCUCAACGGAUAAAAGGUACUCCGGGGAUAACAGGCUGAUACCGCCCAAGAGUUCAUAUCGACGGCGGUGUUUGGCACCUCGAUGUCGGCUCAUCACAUCCUGGGGCUGAAGUAGGUCCCAAGGGUAUGGCUGUUCGCCAUUUAAAGUGGUACGCGAGCUGGGUUUAGAACGUCGUGAGACAGUUCGGUCCCUAUCUGCCGUGGGCGCUGGAGAAUUGAGGGGGGCUGCUCCUAGUACGAGAGGACCGGAGUGGACGCAUCACUGGUGUUCGGGUUGUCAUGCCAAUGGCACUGCCCGGUAGCUAAAUGCGGAAGAGAUAAGUGCUGAAAGCAUCUAAGCACGAAACUUGCCCCGAGAUGAGUUCUCCCUGAGACUUUAA